AGAGUGCCAUUAGCGAUGUGAUCAGUAUUCAAAAAAAAACUGUUGAAAACACAAACGAAGAAGAGAACUGAAGAUGUUGAAAUUGAUAGUAUUCAUUCUUCUCCUCAGUGGCUCCUUAGCCUACGUUUACAUUCGUCCUGAUGUGAAUAAUUCAGGUGAAUGUGGAGACAACGCAUAUCGAGAGCCUUGUGCCUCGGCCUGUAUAGAGACACCAACGUGCCAAAAUAGAUUCCCAGAACCAUAUUCAGAAAGGUGUGUGGAAUAUUGUGUUCCCAAAUGUCUAUGCACUAGAGGAUUCAUCAGAGAUGAUGUAACAAAACGAUGUGUUCCAGUUUCAGAAUGUUCGAAUACCGAAAGUACCGAAAGUGCUGAAAGUUCCUGGUCAUUCUUUCCAAUUUUAGUUGCGAUCAACUUUCCUCAAAAAUAAAAUUCACGUUGAAUAAAACAAUCAUUUUAUUUUA